ACGAGUGGCGGACGGGUGAGUAACACGUGGGUAACCUGCCCUUAAGUGGGGGAUAACAUUUGGAAACAGAUGCUAAUACCGCAUAAAUCCAAGAACCGCAUGGUUCUUGGCUGAAAGAUGGCGUAAGCUAUCGCUUUUGGAUGGACCCGCGGCGUAUUAGCUAGUUGGUGAGGUAACGGCUCACCAAGGCAAUGAUACGUAGCCGAACUGAGAGGUUGAUCGGCCACAUUGGGACUGAGACACGGCCCAAACUCCUACGGGAGGCAGCAGUAGGGAAUCUUCCACAAUGGACGCAAGUCUGAUGGAGCAACGCCGCGUGAGUGAAGAAGGCUUUCGGGUCGUAAAACUCUGUUGUUGGAGAAGAAUGGUCGGCAGAGUAACUGUUGUCGGCGUGACGGUAUCCAACCAGAAAGCCACGGCUAACUACGUGCCAGCAGCCGCGGUAAUACGUAGGUGGCAAGCGUUAUCCGGAUUUAUUGGGCGUAAAGCGAGCGCAGGCGGUUUUUUAAGUCUGAUGUGAAAGCCCUCGGCUUAACCGAGGAAGUGCAUCGGAAACUGGGAAACUUGAGUGCAGAAGAGGACAGUGGAACUCCAUGUGUAGCGGUGAAAUGCGUAGAUAUAUGGAAGAACACCAGUGGCGAAGGCGGCUGUCUGGUCUGUAACUGACGCUGAGGCUCGAAAGCAUGGGUAGCGAACAGGAUUAGAUACCCUGGUAGUCCAUGCCGUAAACGAUGAAUGCUAGGUGUUGGAGGGUUUCCGCCCUUCAGUGCCGCAGCUAACGCAUUAAGCAUUCCGCCUGGGGAGUACGACCGCAAGGUUGAAACUCAAAGGAAUUGACGGGGGCCCGCACAAGCGGUGGAGCAUGUGGUUUAAUUCGAAGCAACGCGAAGAACCUUACCAGGUCUUGACAUCUUUUGAUCACCUGAGAGAUCAGGUUUCCCCUUCGGGGGCAAAAUGACAGGUGGUGCAUGGUUGUCGUCAGCUCGUGUCGUGAGAUGUUGGGUUAAGUCCCGCAACGAGCGCAACCCUUAUGACUAGUUGCCAGCAUUUAGUUGGGCACUCUAGUAAGACUGCCGGUGACAAACCGGAGGAAGGUGGGGAUGACGUCAAAUCAUCAUGCCCCUUAUGACCUGGGCUACACACGUGCUACAAUGGAUGGUACAACGAGUUGCGAGACCGCGAGGUCAAGCUAAUCUCUUAAAGCCAUUCUCAGUUCGGACUGUAGGCUGCAACUCGCCUACACGAAGUCGGAAUCGCUAGUAAUCGCGGAUCAGCACGCCGCGGUGAAUACGUUCCCGGGCCUUGUACACACCGCCCGUCACACCAUGAGAGUUUGUAACACCCGAAGCCGGUGGCGUAACCCUUUUAGGGAGCGAGCCGUCUAAGGUGGGAC
rnacentral:rRNA from 1 species